UAUAAGAAUUGUUCUGUACGGAGUUGGAUCCGACGCCUCUUGAAGGCUACUACAGACUCUCCUUCUCAACUCCUAAUCAAUACGUCCGCGACGUACUGAACGGUAACUUGUCGCCUAAAUAUCCAAGCUUGGGUACACGGGGAAACCCAUCUUGGGCGGGUUGGGCGGCAAGGCCGAAUUGAGAGGG
rnacentral:ribozyme from 1 species